UGGUCACAUGGCAUUGUUUCUCUAAUGGAGCCUUGCCAAGGAGAGCUGUAAGCAGCAACUGAGAAUCUGGAGAGGACCCAAGAGUCAGAGGGGGCUGCAAGAAUUAAAUUUGUCACCUCCAUGACAAUGACCAGCAGACCCUCCAAGUGUCCCUAAUUUCCAGGGACAGUCCUGGAUUUACAGAAGCCGUCCCAGUUUCCAAUUUGAUCCCGCUUUUUCCUUAGGAUGUCCCUAUUUUCACCAGAGAAAUGUUGUAGCGUAUGAACUAAAGGUAAAGGGACCCCUGACCAUUAGGUCCAGUCGUGGCCGACUCUGGGGUUGCGGCGCUCAUCUCACUUUAUUGGCCGAGGGAGCCGGCGUACAGCUUCUGGGUCAUGUGGCCAGCAUGACUAAGCUGCUUCUGGCGAACCAGAGCAGCACACGGAAACGCCGUUUACCUUCCCGCCGGAGUGGUACCUAUUUAUCUCUUUACACUUUGACGUGCUUUUGAACUGCUAGGUUGGCAGGAGCAGGGACCGAGCCACGGGAGCUCACCCCGUUGCAGGGAUUCAAAGCGCCGACCUUCUGAUCAGCAAGCCCUAGGCUCUGUGGUUUAGACCACAGCGCCACCCGUGUCCCAGGGUAUGAACUAGCCCGUCAUCAUUUCUGUCCCAGGGUGGCUUGCCAUCCAAAUUUAAAUGUUCAGAAGGUAGAGGACUCUCACCUCUCGCACCCUUUUCCUCCUUGUGAACAGAACUCUCUGCCAGCCACAGAUUUUAGUCCCGCUCACCCUUUGAGCCAAUCCCCUUUUUAAUCUUAUCCAGGGCCAAAUUGCACAUGGGCUUGUUCCUUUAUUUGCACCCUGAUUUCUCCAAGCCAAGCCCAGAUACAGCAACUGUGCGGCACGUCGCUUGAGGAGAUGAAACAUACUUGGCAUCGUGUAGUGAUUUCAUGCUCUUUAUUGCAGCUUGUAAAACAGUGAAGGAAUCCCCCCCCCCCCCAAAAAAAAAAACUUCUGGCUUUAUAUACAUUAUUAACACAAUGGGUCCUGUUUGACAGACUGUUUGACAGCCAUUUGGAGUACGAGUCUCUGCGGUGGCCUCGUCAGCUGGCAACUGCUGCUAGGCCUGGGCCAAGUCUAGGUUGCCAAAAAUCUUAGACCCUGCCAGGGUGGCAAGGACAUGGCUGACCACUGGCACUGGGUAUGCAUGAGCUGCAAGGGCCUUGUUUGUGGUACAUUUGUAGUCUGCACAGAUGCAGACCGAGCCGUUGGGCUUGAUGGGCAUGGUGAUCGGGGUUUCCCAGGGGGCGUUGGGCACCGGCUCAAGCACUCCUUGUUCCACAAGCCGGUCUAAUUCCUCGUCUAUGCGGGGUUUCAGGGCAAACGGGACUCGGCAGGCCUUCACUCAGCAGGAUCUAGUUGUAGGCCAACAGGGGGCCAGUAUAUCAUCCCAAUGCUCCGUCAAAAACCUCCGGAAAUGCUUUGCAUAUGGCGUCCACAUCCACAUAGGAGCUGGUGUGGUUCACCCCAGUGAUGGCUAGCCCCAGUGGCUCGAACCACACCAACCCCAGUAAGCUGGCCUAGGGCCCCUUGACCACAAUCAAGUCUAACCGCCACUUACACCCUCAAUCUUGUACAUUGAAGGUUCCCACCCCCAUCAUGGGGACCUUAAAAUUUUGGAAGUCCUGGAGGGUGAAUGGGGCCAGCCUGAGCUUGGGGCCACCAUUUGGACACAACUUCUUUAAUGCCCAUGCUGAGAUUAUGCACAGGGUUGAGCCUGUAUCGAGCUCCAUGCAGCCCAGGGCUCCCUAUAUCUGUAAAGGUAAAGGGACCCCUGACCAUUAGGUCCAGUCGUGGCCGACUCUGGGGUUGCGGCGCUCAUCUCACUUUAUUGGCCAAGGGAGCCGGCGUACAGCUUCUGGGUCAUGUGGCCAGCAUGACUAAGCCUCUUCUGGCGAACCAGAGCAGCGCACGGAAAUUCCCCAUCGCAGGGAUUCAAACCGCCGACCUUCUGAUUGGCAAGUCCUAGGCUCUGUGGUUUAACCCACAUUGCCACCCGCGUCCCUCCUAUAUCUGUACCUCAAUGUUAUUUUUUUCCACGUUGGAAUGGGGCAGCUGCUAUACCUGACAGUCCGUGAUCUCUGUCAAGUUGCUCUGUCAGACCGCGGGGCCUGGGACUCUUAGGUCGGCUAUCAGAUGUGAGGCGUCGGGCAGGCCAGGCACACCUGGGCGAUGUGUCCCGCUUUUCUGCAUUGUCGGCAUUCUGCACUGCAGAAACAGCAAGUCCUCUGCUCGUGGUUCUCCCCACAGGUCGCGCAGUUCCCCUCUUCUGGCCGAGGCAGUUGUGGUGGGCGUGCGGCUUGUGGAAGCUGCUGCACUCAGUGCACGUCCUCCCUGUCGGAUUAUGAGUCGGUGAGGUCUUCAUGGUGGGCCCUGGGUUGGGACGAUGAGUUUGGCUGGAAUCCUUGCUCAGACCUCUCGGCGGCUUCGGUUGCCAGGGCCUCCUCUAGGGCGACCUGGAACGUCAGGUCCUUCUUGGCAUGGAAGAGCAACUUCUCGUCCCUCAGGCCACCCGUGAGCCAGUCGCGGAGCAUGUUCUCCAGCUCUGUGAAGUUGCAGAGCCUGGCAGCCUGGCAGAGGGAGGUCACAUACCUGGUUAUGGUUUCUCCAGGGGCCUGCUGCUUUGCGUAGAAGGCGUUGUGACACACUACCACCGAGGCUUGCUGCGAGAAGUGCCCCUUCAGCUGCUCCAUUAACGGUCGUGAUAUUUUCAGGUGUGAGGAGGGCCCGGGCGACCUCGAACGUUUCCUCUCCGCAGACGCUGAAGAAUGUUGCCCUCUUCUUGGCUGCUUCGGUGACGUCCUUUGCCUCCAGGAGGAACUGGAAGCGGGUGGCAUAUCCUUCCCAGUCUCCUGAUGCUGGGCUGAACGGCAGGAAGCUGUUGUCUGUUGCCAUUCUGGGUCCUUGGGUUCUGGAGCUGUAGCCUGGAUGUGCGGUGCGAUGCAGCAGUGUGGCCAGUGGUGGGCUGUGGUGCGGUGCGCGGCAGACAGCUCAGCGGGAUCCCACCUUCAUCGCCAGUGAAAUAUACUCGGAGUUGCAUAGUGAUUUCAUGUUCUUUAUUGCAGCUCGUAAAACAGUGAAGGAAUCCAUCCUCCCCCCAAAAAACCUCUGACUUUAUAUACAUUAUUUACACAAUGGGUCCCAUCUGGUUGACUGAUUCUGCUUCCUCUGGAGCCGGAUUGGGCUGCUCCUGCAGGCCAAUCAGGUUCUUGCAUUCUAGGAUCCAAACAUGAGACUUAAAAUGUUUCAUCGCAACACAUCAGAUGACUUAGGGAUGUUUCUUCAUGUCAUUUAAAGUUUGCAGUGCCCAUCAAUCUUCCUUUAAAGCACACUGGCUGGUGGUGGUAGCCUCUAUCAUUGGACUACUGCAAUGCGCUCUCUGUGUGGCUGCCCUUGAGGAUGGUCCAGAAGUUGUAGCUGGUGCAAAAUAAUAAUAAUAAUAACUUAUUUCUUAUAUCCGCCCAUCUGACUGGGUUGCCCCAGCCAUUCUGGGGGGUUUCCAGCACAUAGAAAAACAUAAUAAUCCCUAAAAUUAGGGAUUAAAGGGACAGAAAUUCCAAAAAAGAUGAUUAAAUUGUCUAGGCACAAAAGUGGAAGGAAGAAGAAGUUCCCACCAAAGAAGAAUGGAGGAUAAGUAAAGUUGUUUCAUUACGUUUUGAUAUAGGUUGGAAGCUGCCUAGAGUGGCUUGAACAACCGUCAGAUAGGCAGGGUACUAAUAAUAAAAUGGUGGUGGUUGUUGUUGACUGUCAGGUCUUUGACCGCAAUAAAGAUUGAUUGGUUGGUGGCAGUGGUGGUUGCCUAUGCUGAACUGGCAAAGUUAACAGCCAAAACAGGAGAACCAAAUGAUUAUUGCUUUGUGGAAGGAUAGAAGCCCUUUUCAGACUAUUUAAGGAAAUAUUGCUGUUUGAUUAACUCACAGGCAGGAUUAGAAAUGAGAGCAACAGAAGAAAUUAGAGAUUACAGUAUCAAGAAGGAAGUUCGCAGCAGAGGGGAAGAAAUUAAAUCACUGUGGGAAAUGGGGUGG
rnacentral:lncRNA from 1 species